rnacentral:rRNA from 2 species
CCUACGGGGGGCAGCAGUGGGGAAUAUUGCGCAAUGGGCGAAAGCCUGACGCAGCAACGCCGUGUGAGGGAUGAAGGUUCUCGGAUCGUAAACCUCUGUCAGAAGGGAAGAACGGUUAUAGGUCUAACAGGCCUGUAAAUUGACGGUACCUUCAAAGGAAGCACCGGCUAACUCCGUGCCAGCAGCCGCGGUAAUACGGAGGGUGCAAGCGUUAUUCGGAAUUACUGGGCGUAAAGCGCGCGUAGGCGGCUUUGUAAGUCAGGGGUGAAAUCCCACGGCUCAACCGUGGAACUGCCUUUGAAACUGCGAGGCUUGAAUCCUGGAGAGGGUGGCGGAAUUCCUGGUGUAGGAGUGAAAUCCGUAGAUAUCAGGAGGAACACCGGUGGCGAAGGCGGCCACCUGGACAGGUAUUGACGCUGAGGUGCGAAAGUGUGGGGAGCAAACAGGAUUAGAUACCCUUGUAGUC